AAUGAUAAACGAAACAAAAAGUUGGUUCUUUGAAAAUAUCAACAAAAGUAAUAAACUGCUGGCUAGACUAACCAAGAAAAAAAAGAAGAUUCAAAUGAACAAAACCAGAAUUGAAAAAGAAGACAUUACACCAAUACCACAGAAAUACCAUCAGAGACUACUAUGAACAACUAUAUGCUCACAACCUAGAAAACCUAUAGGUUUUUUUGAAACGUAUAACCUCCCAGGAUUGAACCAAGAAGAAACAGAUAUCCUGAAUAGACCAAUAAUAAGUAGCAAUAUUGAAUCAGCAAUAAAAAAAUUCCCAAAAAUGAAAGCUCUGGGCCAGACAGAUUUAUACCAAAAUUGUACCAAAUAGGCCAGAUGUGGUGGCUCAUGCCUGUAAUCAUAGCACUGUGGAGCCUGAGACAGGAGGAUUGCUUGAGGUCUUGGGUUUAAACCUUUAAUCAUUUUGAUUUGAUUUUUGUAUAUGAUGAGAGAUAGGGGUCUAGGUUCUUUUUCCUGCAUAUGAACAUUCAGUUUUCCCAGCACCAUUUACUAAAGAGACUGUCCUUUCCCCAAUGUACAUUCUUGGCACUUUUGUCAAAAAUGAGUUCACUGUAAAUGUAUAGAUUUAUUUCUAGGUUCUCUAUUCUGUUCCAGUGGUCUAUGUAUCUGUUUUUAUGCCAGGACCAUGCUGUUCUGGUUACUAUAGCUCUGUAGUAUAAUCUGAGGUCAAGUAAUGUGAUUCUCCAGUUUUGUUCUUUUUGAUCAGGAUAGCUUUGGCUAUUCCAGGUCUUUUGUGGUUCCAUAUAAAUUUCAGGAUUAUUUUUUCUAUUUCUGUGAAGAAUGUCCUUGGUAUUUUGAUAGGAAUUGUAUUUAAUCUGUAGGUUGCUUUGGGUAGUAGGCACAUUUUAACAAUAUUUAUUCUUCCAAUCCAUGAACAUGGAAUAUCUUUCCAUUUUUUGUCCUUUUCAAUUUCUUGCAUCAAUGGUUUAUGGUUUUCAUUGUAGAGAUCUUUCACUUAUUUCUUAGGUUAAAUUAAUUCCUAGGUAUUUUAUUUGUAGCUAUUGUAAAGAGGACUUUCUUGAUUUCUUUUUCAGAUUGUUUACUGUUAGCAUAUAGAAAUGCUAUUCAUUUUUGGCUUUUUAAUUUUUAUUUUUUUUCUCCCAGUGAUCCUUGUUCUGAAAGAAAUGCUACUGAUUUUUAUAUGUUGAUUUCGUAUCCUGCAACUUUACUGAAUUUAUUGGUUCUAGUAGUUUUUUUGUGAAGUCUUUAGGUUUUCCCCAAAUAUAAGAUCAUGUGAUCUGCAAAGAAGGAUAAUUUGACUUCUUCCUUUCCAGUUUGGAUGCCCUUUAUUUCUUUCUCUUAUCUGAUUGCUCUAACUAGGACUUCAAGUACCAAGUUGAAUAACAGUGGUGACAGUGGGCAUCUUUGUCCUGUUCCAGAUUUUAGAGGAAAGGCUGUUUUUCUCCAUUCAGUAUACUAGUUGUGGGUCUGUCAUAUAUGACUUUUUAUUAUGUUGAGGUAUAUUCUUUUUAUACUCGGUUUUUUUGAAGGUUUUUUUUAUCAUAAAGGGAUGUCAAAUUUCAUCAAAUGCAUUUUCAGCAUUAUUAAAAUGAUCAUAUAGUUUUUGUCCUUCAUUCUGUCAAUAUGAUGUAUCACAUACUAUCCUUGCAUCCCUGGGAUAAAUCCCACUUGGUCAUGAUAAAUUAUCUUUUUGAUGUGUUGUUGAAUUCGGUUGCUAGUAUUUUGUUGAGGAUGUUUGCAUGAAUAUUCAUCAGGGAUAUUGACCUAUAGUUUUCUUAAUGUGUCUUUGCCUGGUUUUGGUAUCUGGGUAAUACUGGACUCAGAAUGAGUUUGAAAGUAUUCCUUCCUCCUCUAUUUUUUUUUUCUUGAGGUGGAGUAUUGCUCUUUCUCCCAGGCUGGAGUGCAGUGGUGUGAUCUCAGCUCACUGCAACCA
rnacentral:lncRNA from 1 species